rnacentral:rRNA from 1 species
AAGAUAUCCAAGGCAGCAAUGCUGGAAGGUCACUUGAAGACGACGAGUUUGAUAGGUCGGGAGUGUAAGUGCAGUAAUGCAUUGAGCUGACCGAUACUAAUAGACCGACUGCUUGAACUGU